UACGUAGGGUCCGAGCGUUGUCCGGAAUUAUUGGGCGUAAAGAGCUCGUAGGCGGUUUGUCGCGUCUGCUGUGAAAUCCCGAGGCUCAACCUCGGGCCUGCAGUGGGUACGGGCAGACUGGAGUGCGGUAGGGGAGAAUGGAAUUCCUGGUGUAGCGGUGGAAUGCGCAGAUAUCAGGAGGAACACCGAUGGCGAAGGCAGUUCUCUGGGCCGUAACUGGCGCUGAGGAGCGAGAGCGUGGGGAGCGAACAGG
rnacentral:rRNA from 1 species